rnacentral:rRNA from 1 species
AUGAGCGACACCAGGUGCGGGUGCCGGAUGCCGGACAGCACCACGAUCUCCGUCUGGAACUCCGGCAUCCCCUGCUGCGAGGCGCGGGUGGCGCGCUUCACCGCCACGGGCGUGCCGUCACCGAGCACGCCCUUGUACACGUUCCCGAACCCGCCCACGCCGAUGAGGUUGCGCUCGUGGAAGUUGUCCGUGGCGGCCUUGAUCUUCCCCAGCGAGAUGUGCAGCUUCGUGCUCACCCUCUCCAUCCCGCCGGUCUUGCGCUCUCUGGACCACAGGUUCCUCAACUGCUCAGCCCAGCCGGAGGCGCCGUCCUUCGUGUACGGCACGGCGAAAAAGCCUAACACCACGCAAGCAAGAACGGCGGCGCUGAGCACCGCCGACACCGUAAUGACAAAUAUUCUCUUCCUCCCGCCAUGUCUCGUGCUCAAAUCGACGGGCGGCAGCCUCAUGAUCUCCAGCCCGUUCAGUAUGCCGCCUCCGCUGCUUUUCGGCGACCAGCCGAUGCUCACGGUGAGGUUCCCCGCUCUCAGCGCCCUGGCCGCGUAG